rnacentral:rRNA from 1 species
CAGUGGGGAAUAUUGGACAAUGGGCGCAAGCCUGAUCCAGCCAUACCGCGUGGGUGAAGAAGGCCUUCGGGUUGUAAAGCCCUUUUGUUGGGAAAGAAAAGCAGUCGAUUAAUACUCGGUUGUUCUGACGGUACCCAAAGAAUAAGCACCGGCUAACUUCGUGCCAGCAGCCGCGGUAAUACGAAGGGUGCAAGCGUUACUCGGAAUUACUGGGCGUAAAGCGUGCGUAGGUGGUUGUUUAAGUCUGUUGUGAAAGCCCUGGGCUCAACCUGGGAAUUGCAGUGGAUACUGGGCGACUAGAGUGUGGUAGAGGGUAGUGGAAUUCCCGGUGUAGCAGUGAAAUGCGUAGAGAUCGGGAGGAACAUCCAUGGCGAAGGCAGCUACCUGGACCAACACUGACACUGAGGCACGAAAGCGUGGGGAGCAAACAGGAUUAGA